GACGAACGCUGGCGGCGUGCUUAACACAUGCAAGUCGAACGGUAAGGCCCUUCGGGGUACACGAGUAGCGAACGGGUGAGUAACACGUGGGUGAUCUGCCCUGCACUUCGGGAUAAGCCUGGGAAACUGGGUCUAAUACCGGAUAGGACCACUGCCUGCAUGGGUGGUGGGGGAAAGCUUUUGCGGUGUGGGAUGGGCCCGCGGCCUAUCAGCUUGUUGGGGGGGUGAUGGCCUACCAAGGCGACGACGGGUAGGCGGCCUGAGAGGGUGACCGGCCACACUGGGACUGAGAUACGGCCCAGACUCCUACGGGAGGCAGCAGUGGGGAAUAUUGCACAAUGGGCGCAAGCCUGAUGCAGCGACGCCGCGUGAGGGAUGACGGCCUUCGGGUUGUAAACCUCUUUCAGCACCGACGAAGCGCAAGUGACGGUAGGUGCAGAAGAAGGACCGGCCAACUACGUGCCAGCAGCCGCGGUAA
rnacentral:rRNA from 1 species